CGUAAAGGUGGAUGAGUGGUGUUUGGUUUGUUACGUGUGGUUGGCUGCGGCGUUUGCAACAACUUCCAUGCUUUCAGACCUCUUCAKUUGUGCGGCAAGGCUUGUAUCGCCUUGAGCGUAUUGUGGGUUUUCUGUGUUGAAUACCUAAUCAAUGGUAUCGGUUGGAUUGAUCAAUGUUUCAUUUCGUCUGUCGUCGCAUUCGCGGCGUGAGAUGAACCUUGAUGCGGUCUCUUUGAUCCACCUCGUUGAAGCGCAUGCUUUGACGUUGUGGCGCAUUGAGCAUUGCUUGGUCUCUUGUAUGCGGAACAUGUAGUGGGCAUGAAUCUCACGAUUCUUGUUUGCCCUCAUAUUAGCGUAACGCUUCUCUUACACGACUUGCUCCACGUUUUAGCUCGUACGGACGUGGUGCUAUGUCGAAGAGGAAUGCUACCUGGUUGAUCCUGCCAGUAGUCAUAUGCUUGUCUCAAAGAUUAAGCCAUGC
rnacentral:misc_RNA from 1 species